CGGCGUGGUUGCCGACUCUGUUCCUCAAGUGAAAGGGGCUGAGAGACCCCUGCUGCUGGAGGCCCAGCCUGUGCGCUGCAAGGUCAGCAGGUGGAGAAUGGCAGGGGGCACCUUGCCAGGCACUUUGCACAUGUCAUCCAGAUCUGAGCAUCUCAGGAGACGCUGUGGUCCUGGUCUCUCCCUCGCUGCUGCCGCUGGGGUAAGGGAGAGAGGGGCACACUCCCUCACCCCUGCUUCCCUGGCCCUGGGCUGGCAGACGGCUCCCGAGCUGUGACUCUCAGGGGACAUGGUCCCCCCACAGUUCCCGCACCAUCCAUUAAAGUGAUGAGAUGACGUUUUUGCUUGACAAGGAGCAUGUCACCUGCCUUCAGGACCUGAGGGACAGAGCCCAGGGCAGUGGACCAGGGGUCCAUGCUCUGACCCUGGACAGGUCUCAUCUGUUUUCGGAGCCUCUGUCUUCAAAGGAACAAGGACAGGGUUGGCUGGAUCAGUGCUUCUCACACCCCUGGGGGUCUCUGAGGGGUCCCUAAGAUCAAAACUGUUUUCCUAACUCUUUGACGAUGUUACUGGCCUCUCCAAUGGUAUUAAUGCCGGAACUGAUGAGAGACAAAACGGCACCCUUCAGCAGGAAGCAGGGGCACCAAACUAUACGAACUGCCAUUCUCUUCUUUGCCACCGUGCAGUCACAGUAAAACCAAUGCUUGUUUUCCAAGACAUUUAAGAAUGUCCACGGGAGCUCCCUGGUGGGCCAAUGGGUUAAGACUGUGCUUCCAAUGCAGGGUAUGUGGGUUUGACCCCUCGUCAGAGAACAAAGAUCCCACAUGCCCCCAGGGUAACUGAGCUUGUGUUCUGCAAUUAGUUCCUGUGCUCUGGGGCCUUCUCAUCACAACUGGAGAGGUGCCCACAUGCCGCAACUAAGACCUGAUACCGCCCAAAAUAGACAAGUAUUAAGGAACAAAGACUGUCCCUGAGGAAGCGGUCAAAAUUGUGAAUCACAAGCUCUACUGUGGCACACACGUCUUUUUCAUAUUCUCUGAUGAAACGGGGAGGGUCUUGCAAAUUGCAGGUGAUGUUUCUCUGGAGGGAAGGCACGUGCAAGGCUGCCCUGCCAGCCAAAAUGGUUCCUUUCUUUCACAAGACACCACUUUAACUUGAAAGAAUGGCCGGCAGACAAAUAUAGGUAAUUCAGACUUGGUCUCUGGAAGACAGUUUCUAAAAUAUCAAGCUAGCCUAUCGCUUCAAGGAAAACACCUAACAAAUUUGCUACCAAACUGAAAAAAAUUCCAGCUUCCAAGGGAAGAACCAGAGUUUUGGAAAGCUUACAUUUAACACCAUAAGUUUGACAGCUUUCCAACACCUGAAGACUUUUCUGGUAAGACAGACACUGAUGUUAACAAAUGCGAGUUUUUUAUUUUCUCUGUUGCAAAGCAUCACUGUUUGGAAGAUGUGCAUAAUUCUGAACCACUGUUUUCCAAAUGAUCAAAAUUAUGUCAAAAAUCUGGCAUGGUGACCCAUUCAAAGAGCAAAGUAAACCAAUGGAUUUUUUAAAAAGACUUAAUUGAGAGGAGGGUACAGCGAUUUCCCAUAUAACCCUAGAGCCUCCCCCAUUACCGACAUCACUCACCAGAAUGGUAUACUUAAAAAAAAAAAAAGAUGAACCUAUCCCAACAUAUUAUAAUCACCCAGAGCCUGUUGUUAACCUUUGGUUUCACUCUUGUUGCUACUGAGUCACUAAGUCGUGCCUGACUCUUUGCAACCCCAUGGAGUGCAGCACGCCAGGCUUCCCUGUCCUUCACUAUCUCCCGAAGUUUGCUCCGACUCACAUUCCAUGGGUGUAGACAAAUGCAUAAUGACAUGUAUCUGUAAGUACCAUGAUCUGUGGUAUCAUACAGUGUAUUUUCACUGCCCUAAAAAUCCUUUGUGCUCUACUUAUUCAUCUGUCCCUCCCCAGCCCCUGCCAGCCACUGAUCUUUUUACUGUCUGAUGGAUCCAUUUCAGAUUAAGUUCUUCCCCUUAGUGACAUGCUUUUCAGGUUCUUCCACGUCUUUUCAAGACUCGGUCGUUCAUUUCCUUUUAGUGUUGAAUAAUAUUUCAUUGUCUGUACCCCAGUUUACUUAUCCAUUCACCUACUGAAGGACCUUUUGGUUGCUUCCAAGUUUUGGCAAUUUAUCAAUAAAGCUGCUGUAAACAUC